GAAAUGCGAUAAGUAAUGUGAAUUGCAGAAUUCAGUGAAUCAUCGAAUCUUUGAACGCACCUUGCGCUCCUUGGUAAUCCUUGGAGCAUGCCUGUUUGAGUAUCAUGAAAUCUUCAAAGUAAAUCUUUUGUUAACUCAAUUGGUUUCUACUUUGGUAUUGGAGGUCUUUGCAGCUUCACACCUGCUCCUCUUUGUUCAUUAGCUGGAUCUCAGUGUUAUGCUUGGUUCCACUCGGCGUGAUAAGUUAUCUAUCGCUGAGGACACUGUAAAAGGUGGCCAAGGUAAAUGCAGAUGAACCGCUUCUAAUAGUCCAUUGACUUGGACAAUACUUUUAUGAUCUGAUCUCAAAUCAGGUAGGACUACCCGCUGAACUUAAGC
rnacentral:misc_RNA from 1 species